AGACAAACCUUUUCCUCCCCAAGUUGGUAUUGGUCAACGUGUUUUGUCACAGCAAUGGAGAAUCAAACUAGAACAGUUACCAAAAUUACACCUCUGCUCUGUGCUCAGACCCAGUCCCUAGGCCUGGGUCCACCCAAUUCUGGGGCACAUUCUCCCAAACGCUACACUCUCAAGUGCUCACCAACCCCAACCCUGAGUCACUGUCCCCUCCUCCCUCAGACUGCUCCAGACCACGGUAGCCAAACCACAAACCCUCCCCCGAAGACCAGGCCACUUUCUCUCCAACUCCUACCCCUCCUCCUCCCUCCCCACCCCCGCCAGGCUUCAGGGGCCGAAUCCACAGGCAGCAACCGCCCCCGCAUCGGCCAAUCAGCGAUUGCCGCACACCCGCGAUUUAGCCAAUCCACAUCAGCUUUGCAGUUCCACCCCCUCACCUGGGGGGCUGGGGCUGCAAGUCUGCGCCCUGCGCCCCACCUCGGGGGUAUGUGGAGCCUGGCGCCUGUGUCCUCCCCGCAACACAGCAAAGCCUCAGCCCUCCUCCCUCUGACCCACAUGGCUCAACACCCGGCUGCAUCUGUACACCUCUCUACUCUGCUGGCAAAGAGCGCCAACUUCAUUCCCCUAAGGACCCAGAAUAAAGCGCCUAGGUGAAGCGGAACUGCGCUCCCUGGCGACCGGAGUUAGCAACUUGGGCAACCCCUGCAAGGUCUCCAGGGAGUUGUUCAGAACGACACGUGGCUGCAGGAGGGAAGCAACGCUGGUGUAAACAGACUUGUAUAAAGAACAGGAAAUAAAUAUGACGUUGCCUUUC